GAUGAACGCUGGCGGCGUGCUUAACACAUGCAAGUCGAACGAACGACUAUAUUUAGAACCUUUCGGGCGAAGAAAAUAGAAGUUAGUGGCGGACGGGUGCGUAACGCGUGGGUAAUCUGCCUUUGUCAAAGGAAUAACUAUUCGAAAGAAUAGCUAAAACCGUAUAACAUAUUAAUAGGGCAUCCUAAUAAUAUCAAAACUGAGGUGGACAAAGAUGAGCCCGCGUCUGAUUAGCUAGUUGGUG
rnacentral:rRNA from 1 species